AAUACCAUCAUUCCAGACACUCUUCUAAGUAAAUUAAACCAACCAGCAGUACCUGAACACACUUGUAAGUGGAUCAUAAGCUUCCUAACAGACAGGAAGCAGCAGGUGAAGCUAGGUAGAAUCACAUUCGAUACCUGUACAAUCGGCACAGGGCCCUCCCAAGGCUGUGUGCUUUCUCCACUUCUCUUCUCCCUAUACAGGGAUUGCAUCUUAAAAGAU